rnacentral:tRNA from 1 species
UCCCUGGUGGUCCACUGCUAAGACUCUGCAUUCCCAAGGCAGGGGGCCCAGGUUCAUCCCCUGGUCAGGGAA